GCUUUUACUUGCUGUUGCUGCAACCAAAGUUCAUCAGCUGAUAUCGCUGGGUCGAAUUAUUAACAGUUAUUUCUGAUUACUUUGUCGUAAUUCUCAAAAUAUUAUUAAAAUGUAGUUAACAAUGGUAGUUUUAUCUCGCGUCUUAGUAUUAGCUACGCAAUUGUGGAUGUUAAACGUGUUUUUGAAAGUGUUUUCAGAGAAUUAACAAUUCUAACCUCAAAUCGUAAACAAAUAAAUAAGGCUCCAAAAUGAGUGUCGAAGGCGUGAUGGUGUCGUACAACUACUCCGACGACGGCGAGCUGGCCAACAUCCUCACCGUGUCAGCAUCUGGCUUGAAGUACUCCAACCGAUGGGUGCUCACCCAUGGCUCAAUACUCUCUCCCCUGAAACAGGCAAACGUCAUCAAGAACGCGCGAGGCAGACCGCUGCUGAAUGAUGCGUUCUACAAUGAUCUGCCUGAGAUAUAUGUCACGUGUGAAAAGGCAGCCUCCAAAGUGCCCAAUGUUUAUGAGGAUGUUGAGAAGUUGAGCAGAGAAAGGAGCAUGGAUAAUGAUGUGGAUUUCGAGCACAGUAGUUACCAAGUCAGAGUGCUUACUGGAAGAAUAUGCCACGUAUGGCAAUGCCCAGUGCUGGAACGGUGCGUGGACGACAUCCUAUACAGCUGGACCAUCGGCCACCAAGACGGAGACAUGGAGAAGCAGACGCGACUGGGCAAAGCGCUGCUCUCAGUUUUCGUGCUCAUCGACCUGGAGAGCGAUUACAGAGGCCUAAAAACUCUCAGGCCGUUGUCAGAACUGCUGGACAUGGUCAAGCCGCCGCCGGAGCGAGGGACGAGCAUCCAAGUACAUUCCACGCCCUUUGGAUGCGAGGCAUUUCUGAACGCUGUAACCCGAGGUGCAGUGUGCGGGGUGGUGGGAAAAAGACCAUCUCUGUUGCUAACGGAUACUGCUACAGCUUUGGGCUCUGAGGGUGCGCCGGUCUUCACUGAUGGACCAAACAAGGAGCUGGUGGGCACGGUGGUGUGCAGCGUGUCGUGGUGGCGCGGCGAGUGGGUGGGGCUGACGUUGGCAGCGCCGCUGCGCGCCGUGCUGGCCGCCAAGCUGCGCGUGCCGCCGCUGCACCCGCCGCGCGCGCCCGCCUCGCCGCUCUACUCCAAGAUACUGCAGAUAGUGGACCGCACGACGCUGCUGGUGCGGUGCGGCGCGGCGUGGGGUGCGGGCGUGUGGCUGGGCCGCGGGCACGUGCUCACCUGCGCGCACGUCGUCAGCAGCCACGCGAGCUACAAGGUGUCCCUGUACUGUCAGAACAAGAAAGAGACGGCGAUGGUCCGGUACAAGACAAAGGACGACAAGGCGUACGACCUGGCGCUGCUCUACACCAACCCGGACUACUGGACACAUCUCACGCCGGCCGAGUUCGCGGAGGAACCCGCGGAGAAAGGUGAAUCAGUUCUUGCGGCUGGCUACCCGUACUUCAACGAGAACAACUUGGAAGAUCUGAAGCCGACCGUGACCAGCGGACAUGUGAACAACGUGUCGCCAUCUAUGAUACAGACGUCGUGUUGCGUGCAGUCGGGCUUCAGUGGCGGUCCAAUAUUCCGAAUAACCAAGGAAUUGAAGGUGGAAGUAGUAGCAACCAUAGUAAGCAACGCUAAAGCGCAGACUGGGGCCAGCUUCCCCUAUAUCAACAUGGCGGUGCCCUCGAGGGCGUUCAUACGCUCUGUGCAGCACUUCUUAAUGGACAGAGGUGAGUGUUGUACAAGUUGUAGCAACUUUAGUGAGCAACGCUAAAGCGCAGACUGGGGCCAGCUUCCCCUAUAUCAACAUGGCGGUGCCCUCGAGGGCGUUCAUACGCUCUGUGCAGCACUUCUUAAUGGACAGAGGUGAGUGUUGUACAAGUUGUAGCAACUUUAGUGAGCAACGCUAAAGCGCAGACUGGGGCCAGCUUCCCCUAUAUCAACAUGGCGGUGCCCUCGAGGGCGUUCAUACGCUCUGUGCAGCACUUCUUAAUGGACAGAGACGAGUCGGUACUGUCGCCGAUAGAGAACAACAAGGAAAUAGUUCAGUCGCAAUGGAGAUUGCUGCCUUAUAGAUCUAAGAUAUGAGAUGUUAUUAUUUAUUUUUUAUACUACAUUUAAUUUGAUAGUGAAUAUUGUGAUAUAUUAUGUAAAUAUAUAUGUUUUAAUUUAAUAGAUAUUUUAUUAAUUAACGACUA